rnacentral:lncRNA from 1 species
CUCCAGGCUCUGAGCUGUCAUCAGCACAGAGCCCAACUCGGGGCUCGAACCCAUGAACUGUGAGAUCAUGACCUGAGCCGAAGUCAGACGCUCAACUGACUGAGCCACUCAGGUGCCCCUAAGUGUGUUAUUUUUAAUGUAAAAUGAUUAACUCCAUAUGUGUUUGUUUUCUAAUCUGUUACCAUAUAUAGACAUCUGAAUGAAAAUAAAACUUCUGUGCUUAUGAAUAUUUAUUUUAUUCUAAGACCUUUUUAAAAAUUUCCAGUGUUUGCUUAUAUUUGUAUGUUAUGUGAUAAUCAGAAACAAAAGUCAAAAAUGUUCAACUCAGUAGCCAAUAAUAAAUUAUGAACAUUUUUUGGAAGAAAAUUAACCUAUAAAUUAAGGUAUAAAUCAGUAUUUUUUUUGAACAGAAGUUUGGCCAUAAUAAUUGAAAUUCAAACAUUUGAAAUGGUGUUACUUGCUGCUGGGAAUUUAUUCCACAUCUCAAAUUUACACUGAAGUAUGUUAUACAUUGAGUAUAAAUAAUAGUCGAGCAUCUGAAAUAUACCUCAACAAAAGAUCAUAAUGGUUGUAGCUUAUUCAUCAUAUGAAUAUAAUUUAGACACUGGAACAUGGUCUGAUAAGGGUGUUUUGUGUGGAUAUUUAAAAUUAUGCCAGUUUUUGAACAAACAUCAACUAAUAGUGUGUUUACAGAGGUUUGACCAUAUGCCUCGUUCUAAUUGGAAAUGUCAAUCAUUACUGUUCCUGAGGAAUGUAAUUAUUCUGACAUGAUUAUAGAGUUAAGUAAUGCUGACUGAUCAGUGUUAUAAUGAAUAUUUUAGCAUUCUUAAAAAUUUUGUACAUGUGUACAUUAAGUAGUAAAAUACUGUCUUAUUAUUUGUAUAUUGCUACUUGACAAUCUGAAAUGAACAUACUAAUUGUUAGAAAGGUGUCUGGAAGAAUGGAUGGCAAAAUUUUAACAUUACUGUAUAGAGAGAUGGGAAUGGAGGACUGCUUCUACUUCCUGCAUUUUGAAUUUUAAAGGUAUUUCAAAAGGAACAUCUAAACAGCAAAAAGGGGAUUUUAAAGAUACACCCAAUUUAUGCCUGCCUUUCAUCCUUGCCUAUCAAUAUCUGGCGAGUAUUGGGCUGUUGUAUCCAAUUUUGUAUUCCCAGUGGCCAUUAUGAAUUGUUUGUGAGUGAUCAUGAAGAGCAUGUGGUUUAGAGACUCUAGUGAAGCAGAGAGUUUUACACACUGAAAAAGCAUUGUGGGACUCCAGAAAUGAACAUGGGAGAAGAUAGGAUUUCAGGUAGGUGCUAAACAAUUAUAUUUGGGUUUACAAACGCAUGAAUGAUUAAAAUAAAUCAUUGAAACUUUCUAUAAAGGGUAAAUUUUCAUAAAUUUACAUAUUUGUGGUUACUGAUUAGAUCAUGUUGUUUGAGGAAGAGUAUUGGAUUAGGUUGAAAGUUAAUUAAUGGUAGUAAUUAGAGAAUGGAUUUUUCCUAGUUUUUACAGUAGUUGAGUCAGAAUUUCACGUAGGUCUUUAUGGUUUCUUAUAUGAUUCAGAACUGGCAUGAAAAACAUUUCCGUACAUUUGUGUUAUUUCUGUGUAGUAAUAUCAGCUGUUUAUCUCCAUUCGCUGUUCGUGAUUAUUCUAAAAUCAUCCUAAUUUGUGUGUCCUGGUGUCUUAUUUGUAUCUAAUUGGCUAUAUUGUAUAAUUACUUCUCAGAUGAACACAAUGAAAGGAAGAGAUUUACAGAUAAUCUGAGGACAGCUGACAUUCCUAUGGUCUUUCUUAAUUCAUAAGUCUUAACUGGGAACUACAGGUAAGAAGGUUCUGGAUCAAGAAGUUCUGUUUUAGAACAAGGCUUUGGCUAGACUCAGGAAUAUCCAGCCAUGCCUGAGAAUUAGUGAGUAAAUUUAUUCUAUAAAAAAAGAUAACUUUACCAAAGUAAAGGUGGGGAGUAUAUGUAGAAUGUAAGAGAUUAUUUAUGUCUUCUUUCAAUUGCUUUUAUUUCUAACCAAACAUUAUGAUCUAAUUAAUGUUAUAAAGAAAAUUAUUCAUUAAUUGGAAAUUUUGAAAUAAAGGAUUUUUUGCAAGUAUUUUUAUAGUGUGAUAAAGGCAGAAGUUCAUGGAAACUGGUAAAAAACAAACAAACAAACAAGGGGAACCCUCUUGCACUGUUGGUGGGAUUACAAACUGGUGCAGCCACUGUGGAAGACAGUAUGAAAGUUCCUCAAAAAGUUAAAAACGUGAUUUAGCAAUUGUAAUCAUGAGGUAUUUACCCAAAGAAUACAAAAAUAUUAAAUCAGAAGGAUCUGUACACCCCAUCCUUUAUUGCAGCAUUAUCUACAAAUAGCCAAAUUAUGGAAACACCCCAAGUAUCCAUUCACUGAUGAACAGAUAAGGAACUCCGCCAUAAAAAAUGAGAUCUUCCCACUUGCAGCGAACAAGGCCGAUGGAGCUAGAGAGUAUAAUGCUAAGCAAAAUAAGUCAGAGAAAAACAAAUGAUAUAUGAUUUCACUCAUAUGUGGGAUUUAAGAAACAAAACAAAAUAGAGGCAAAGCAAGAAAUAGACUCUUAGCUAUAGAGAACAAAUUUAUGAUUACCAGAGGCCAGGUGGUUGAGGGAGAUGGGUGAAAUAGGUGAUGGGGAUUAACAAGUACACAUGUAAUGAGAAACAGGUGAUGUAUGUAAGUGUAGCAUCACUAAAUGGCACACCUAAAACUAAUAUUUCACUAACUGGAAUUUUAAUAAAAAGUUAAAGUAUUUGGUAAAGUAAUAGCUGAAGUUGGAAUGUUGAAUCAGCUAUAGGGGAUUCAUUAAUGAGGAAUUCUUUCUAAGCAUUAAAAGAAAUUUGUAACAAAGUUCAAAAUUAGCCUCCACUUAUUUGCUGCUUUUUCUAUUUUAUAAGAAGUAUGUGUGUCUUAUCUUCCAAUGUUUCUUCUUUUUUUCCUGUCAGGAGAUGAUAAUUCUAAGAAAACACACUUUUGCCAUCUUUGUUUGUAAUUGCAAGAAUCAGUACCAUAAGACCUCUGUUGGCAAUAUUACUCAUUUGAGUAUUCGAGUAUUCGUCACCUCCCAUCUCUGGCUUUGGGAAUACUGCUUGGCAAAAUGAUUGUAAGGACAGAUAAGUGUUUAUUUUAUUCAGGGAGGGGCACUUGAUUAGACAGGAGUUAAUAUUCUGCUUUGUUUAAGAUUAAUUAAUUUUUGGUGGCAGCUAGUGGGUAAUGAGAUCCGUUUGGGGUACAUGUUGCUGAGUAAUAAAGAAUCCUGACACACAGUGGCAUAAAAUAUCUAUUGUGCCAUUUCAUGAAUUCUGUGGGUGAAGAUUUCUGACAAUGCCAGAAUAUGGGAUCAGCUGGGAAGAUACGGUGUUUAAUAUUGAUUCAAACGCUUCGAGGCUGGAGUCAUCUGGACACUUCUUCACACGUAUGUCUGGCACUUGUUUUGGGAAGACUCGGAAGGCUGGGCUUAGCUAAAUUAGAGCACCUUCACACAAUCAGUUUAACAGAGGAAGCAUCAUCAAAAUGAAUGUUCGGAGAGAACCUUGUGAAAGUGGCAUGUGGUCUUUAUGAUCCAACUUCAGAAGUCAUGUAGUAUCACUUCUGCCACAUUUUGUUGACUAACAUUUUUAUAUGACCAGCCCAAAUUCUAGUAGAUAUUCCAUCUCAUGAUGGGCGUGUGCCAAGGUUACUGGUCACCUAGAGUUACAUGUAGGACCAGAUGAAAGAAGAUAUUGUAAUUGAGAACUAUAGCUGUAUAAUUUUAGUAGUUGAUUUUUUUAAAUAAUUUUGGGAUCCAUUAACAACAGUUCUCUCAAAUCAUAUAUCUGUCUUUAUGAUCUUAAUAAAUUGAUUUUCAGAAUUUCACUUUUCAUGUACUCUGGAUUUCUUGCAGAUAUGUUUCAACAAAUAUCUUACUCUUUGCCUGACAUAGUAUUAAAUUUUAUUGAAUUGUAACUUUGGUAAUAAAUUAGGCAAAAGACAAGAAGUUCGAGAAAGAAAACAAAGUACAUGAUUUUGGGCAUUAAGUGAGUUUGAGGAGGGCAAAAGAGAGAAGAGCCCAGGUACACUAAGCUGACGUUGAGAUGUAUAACCUUAGAAGUACGAAAGUAAUGAACUAUAAAAAGAGUGAGAGGGAGCAGUUGUUAAUGAAACCAUUAAUAUUAUAGCAAAUAGUGAAUCCCAUCUCCUGAUGGACCAAGAGUUGUGUAAUUCUCUUAUUUCCUUUAUUUCCCACUAGAAAGUUAAUUCAUGUGAUACACGGCCAAGAGUAAAUGCUGACAAAUUCUUUAAACAUUCUUUUUCAGAGAGCCUUAUUGGCUACCUGCAAUAAUCCUCAGAAUGACCUAUUCUGUUAAUCCCAGAAUAACCUUAAAAGAUAAAGGCUUUUAUGAUAAAAUGUUUUUUUUUUUUCCUUAGGAUAAAACAUUGCUAAAUAGACAACUAAACUAAAUAGACAACUUCAACUUGGGUGAAGUACCUACUUAAGAAUUUUGAUAACCAGCUGGAAUAAUGGGUUAAGAUCUAAAUCUUAUUAAAUUCCAUUGUAGCCUCUGUCUUUUAUACAAUUACCUUUUUUUUUCUUACCAAAGGGACUAAGGUCCUUUUGUUAUUUUCAUUGGAUUUUUUUUUUGCACUGUUGUCAUGUUUAUUGUAGAGAAAAGCAUAUAGAUUAAAUAGUUUUUGUAUGAAUGAGCAAUCUAGAGAUAUAGGCAUCCAAAUACAUAACAGAGACACAGACAGCAUGAGAAUGUUGGGAUCAAUCCAUUUACGAAGGUGUAAGAAGAAGGAAUACCAAGAUACCAACAUCUGGCUUUUUAAAAACUGAGGUAUAGUUGACCUCAUUAGCUUCAGGUCUAUAAAUAGUGAAUAGUGAAUAGUGAUAGUGACUUGAUAAUUCUAUGCAUUAAGCAGUGCUCACCACAAUAAAUGUAGUUGCCAUCUCUAGCCUUCUUACUAGAAAAUUUCAAAAGUUAUUCUGAUGCAUCUGUUAUUUCUUCAUAAUAAAAUGGCUGUUGCAUUUCAUUGUAUAUAAUUUUAUUAGAUAUUACUGAUAAUUGCAUAAAGUAUGCUUCCUAACUUUACGCAUUUCCUAAUGUGUCCUCUCAGGUGAUGUCCAAAUAGGAAACUGAUGUUACUGCUUCUGACACCAUCUUCAAAUCCAAAAACGGUCUUUAUAACGUAUGGAGACUCCUCCUUUCAUGUGUUGGAGUAGACACUCCUCCAGAAAAACUGGACUGAGAAAGCCCUUGUUUCAAAGUUACCUAAAGAUUAUCAUUGGAGGGAAUUGUAACCAGGCAUGUUGACUGUUUUCAUUAUUGACAUUGGACUAAAUGUCGGGAGCUUGAAUGAUGGAGAUGCUAUUACACAGAGAAGCUCAGGAUGAUAUGAUUGCAAGGCUUCAUUUCAAUGUUCCCAUAAGUAUUAAGUGCACAUAUUUAUAAUUUUCACUUUUAACAGGGUAAAUUUAAAAUAGAUGCAGAAAAAUAAAUUAUCUUUUUUCCAGAUUUGAAAGGACACAGAAAGUUGUAAAGGGUAGUAUUUUUACUUUUUAAAUGCUUUUUCCUCCCUCCUAAUUCUACUCCCCAAUAUUAUCUGCUGUUAAGGAGUUUUGUGCAUAUCCUUUUGGGGCGUAUCGAUAAACAAAUUGAUAAUGCCAGUAGUCAUUUGGGCCCAUACAUUAGCUACAAAUUUUCUCUUCAGUGAACAUGCUUAUAUGUAAUCUACUUUUUAACUUCUCCAGCUAAGUUGUUGAAAUAGUCCUACUACUUCCACUUCAUUGGAAUUAAGUAUAUCCAAAAUUUAUGUUUUGACUUAAAAGUAGAGAUUUCCCCAGAAUUGUGUAAAUUAUCCUCAUCAAUAUUGUCUCCCAGUGUUUGUUUAUGAGACUUCUUUUUUCUAAAACAGUACAAACAUUGGAUGUCAAUGUUUUAAUCUUUGAUAGUGUGAUACUACAAAGAAAGUAUUUUUCUUCAGUUAUUGUUCACUUCAGUCAUCUUCAUAUGUCCUUAAACUGUACUAGUCAUUUGUUAUUCUGUGUUUUGUGUUACUUUGUUUUUUUUUGUUUUUUGUUUUUUUUCAUUUCCCUUGGAAUACUAGUGUCUUUGUUACUGGCUUUUAAAAGAUCUUUUAUGACUAACGAUUUUAACCAUUUACCAUGCUUUGCAAAUGAAAUACCAUGUUUUUUCACCAUUUUACUGUGAUAUUUUACUUUUUGGUGUACAGAAGUUGUAUAUUGAAAUAUAACAAUAUUGUGUUUCAUGCCUUUUGAGUUUUGUGUUUUUAUUUAAAA